rnacentral:rRNA from 1 species
UGCGUAGGUGGAUUGGCAAGUUGAAAUUUAAAUCCCGCAGCUUAACUGCGGACCUGGUUUCAAAACUGCUGGUCUUGAGUUCGAAAGAGGGGAGUGGAAUUCCUAGUGUAGCGGUGGAAUGCGUAGAUAUUAGGAGGAACACCAGUGGCGAAGGCGGCUCUCUGGUUCGAUACUGACACUAAGGCACGAAAGCGUGGGGAGCAAACAGGAUUAGAUACCCUGGUAGUCC